CCCCCCCCCCCCACCAAGCUGCCCACCAGAGGCCAAGCUGUACUUGGUGUUUGCCAACAUGCUGUAAUUUCCAGCCUGGUUGCUGUAGCCACAGAGGAAUUUUCAAGGACAAGAACCAGUGCUGGUAAAACUGUGGUCUCUGUGGUUUUCCAUACCGGCUCUCGGCAAGGAUUUUCAAGAAAGGAAUACCAUCUCCAAAUCAUGAUGUGCCAAUAAGCUCCAGUUAGCUGCGGCCUUUUCCCCAGGCGGUAGUCCUGCAAUCUGAAUCCAGGAGAUGCAGCUCUGAAUCCAAUAUUUCAGAAGAAUGAAGAUGUUAGUCAACUCUGUAGUGCUUGUUUGUGUGUAAAUGAUUCCAAUGAGUGAGAUUUAUAGCAAAUCAGGUGUAAAUAAGCAUCUUAUAGACAAUAGUGAAGUGCUGUACUCUGAAUUUAAUGCCAAAUCUAGCCUUCAAAACAGAUUCUUAAAGUAAAUUUUUUUUAAAAAUGGGCAUAAUAAUGCUAUCUCUGCAUUUUCUACAUCAUGUAGCCACCUCAUACAUGAAAACACUAGCAGUUGUCAUGAAUCUUUAAGUUUAAAAAUCUUAAAAGAGUAGGCAGGCCAGUUUUGUGGUGCUGUUCUAUAGACACCAUUAAAAGCUACAAGGAAAACUUUACUUGGUCAAAUUAUUCCAAUGCAUCAGGAAAUAAUGGCUCUUCAAAGGUUUGCGGCUUAACAUUUGAGGGAAAUGGCUGUUUCUGCUUUUUAUGAAAAUACCACAGGUGCUAAUACUUGUCUCAUUCAUUUAGUGUUUGAUAUAUCAUUGCCAAACUUUCAGUAUGUGUUGCAUAUAGCCUGAAGCUGAACUAUAGGAGUUUUGAAGUCUGUUUCUGAAAAAAUGUUGCUUAAAUAGGCUCAAGACCACAGUUAUCUGCCCCCCCGUUGACCAAGAUCCGGAUGUGAAUACAGAAACAAAGAGUGCUUGUGUUCAAGUAUCAAUAUUUUAUUAAAAUUGAAUGAAAAAGAAGCAAAAAAUGUUCUUUUUGCAGAGAACUUGACUGAAUUUGACACUCUAUUGCAGAAAUUGAUAGUUUUCAAUGUAAAUAUUGGAAAAAUCAUAGCUUGUGGAAGUCUGAAAAUUAGUUGUUUGUAGCCGAUUGACUCCCUGGCGGAAGGGUUAUGUAUUUGAACUCAAUUUUGACAGUCGGGUCAAUGGUCAACAUGGUGUUUUCUUGUGAUUAUAUUUUGUGUCUUGAAUUGUUCUAGAGAUGCCAUGUCCUUGUUUUUCAAUUUGGGUGUGUAUAAAGUCAAAAGCCAGGUUAGUGUCUAUAUGAAACAUAUAGUAAAAAUAACUGUGGUCUCACGCCAUAUAACCACCUGUAAACCCCAUUUCGUCAGUUUUAUUUCGGCGUAAAAAUACACACGAUAGUUCGGAAAAAAGGUCAAAACACUAAAAUUCCUUAUGGACGCAUAAGUUGUUUAAAGUAUAACGACGUAUCGACUUUGAAAUUUGAAAGGAAUAUGGGAUGUUUUCCGUGUUUUAAUUUUGUUUUUUUUACUAAUUUUGUCACUUUCUUUGAACUUACCUUCAUGCUCGUUUGUUGGUAAAAUGUGUGAAAAAUAUCAAUUCAUCAAUUAAAAGCUAUCAUUCAUAAGACCAAACAAAUCCAUAUGAAAACAAUGAAUUUGUAUACAAGAACCCUCCCCCACUCGUUAAGCACAACAAUAGGCCGAUAGAUCAAUUAUCGGGUGAUUGACGAUGACCUCGACGACACGCGUACCAAUUAACGGAUUAGUGUCAACAUGUCCUGUGUUUUACGACCAGUGUCCCGGACAGGCAAAAUAGCUGACUUACAUUGGUAAAAUUAAGAUAAUCGAUUCCGAUUCCGAGAUUAUUUUUUUUUCUUCUUUUUUUAUGACUUUCCGGGACAAACAUGCACCCUCCGUGACUCCGUGACAGAGAUACGAUUUCCGGGACAAUCACGGACGUCCGGGACGUUAUCACAUGUAUGAUUUAGAAUUUAAUUGGCAUAGUUUUGUUUUCAACAAAUCUAGUGAUAAUUUGUUGCUCAUUAUUUCUCACCUGCAAUAGAACUGCUUGAUGUUAUUGAUCAAAGAAUCUCCAAAUUACAAUUUUGAUUGUAAUAAGUACUUUAUAUGGGUUGUGGUUUUGUUUAGUUGUUCAAUGUUUUAUACUCAAAGUAGCUUGAAUUUUGAUUCAAAUUGUUGCAUCUUGCCAUCAAUCUUGUUCACUCCAGUUUUUGUGAUGUCUGUGUAUUUUGUUCAGGUUUAAGAAAUAGAUUUACCUCAUACUAUUUCUAACAGCUUUUAACCUAUUACCUCAUAUCAUUGCAUAGGUUAGUACCAUAAUAUCAACACCUAGCUCAGGCUAGCUGGUCAAAAUUUCUAGUCAACUUGUUAUGUGUUUAUAUAUAUUUGUUCGUAUUUUACUUUAUAAAAUGUCUGUGAUUUAAUUCUUGAUUAUGAUGUGAUUUACUGUAAUUUUAUGAUUCUGUUAUCCUCAAUCAUUGUCAAAUUAUUUUUA